GAUGAACGCUGGCGGCGUGCCUAACACAUGCAAGUCGAGCGAACGGACGAGAAGCUUGCUUCUCUGAUGUUAGCGGCGGACGGGUGAGUAACACGUGGAUAACCUACCUAUAAGACUGGGAUAACUUCGGGAAACCGGAGCUAAUACCGGAUAAUAUUUUGAACCGCAUGGUUCAAAAGUGAAAGACGGUCUUGCUGUCACUUAUAGAUGCAUCCGCGCUGCAUUAGCUAGUUGGUAAGGUAACGGCUUACCAAGGCGACGAGGCAUAGCCGACCUGAGAGGGUGGUAGGCCACACUGGAACUGGGACGCGGUCCAGACUCCUGCGAGAGGCCGCAGUAGGGUAUCUUCCGCAAUGGGCGAAAGCCUGACGCAGCAACGCCGCGUGAGUGAUGAAGGUCUUCGGAUCGUAAAACUCUGUUAUUAGUUGAGAACAUAUGUGUAAGUAACUGUGCACAUCUUGACGGUACCUAGUCAAAAAGCCACGGCUAACUACGUG
rnacentral:rRNA from 1 species